rnacentral:rRNA from 2 species
UAGGGAAUCUUCGGCAAUGGACGAAAGUCUGACCGAGCAACGCCGCGUGAGUGAAGAAGGUUUUCGGAUCGUAAAACUCUGUUGUUAGAGAAGAACAAGGACGUUAGUAACUGAACGUCCCCUGACGGUAUCUAACCAGAAAGCCACGGCUAACUACGUGCCAGCAGCCGCGGUAAUACGUAGGUGGCAAGCGUUGACCGGAUUUAUUGGGCGUAAAGCGAGCGCAGGCGGUUUCUUAAGUCUGAUGUGAAAGCCCCCGGCUCAACCGGGGAGGGUCAUUGGAAACUGGGAGACUUGAGUGCAGAAGAGGAGAGUGGAAUUCCAUGUGUAGCGGUGAAAUGCGUAGAUAUAUGGAGGAACACCAGUGGCGAAGGCGGCUCUCUGGUCUGUAACUGACGCUGAGGCUCGAAAGCGUGGGGAGCAAACAGG